UUUCACAGCUUUCUGGCCAUAUUUUCUCCAGCGGUAGCCAUCAUCAAGAAUAUCAUCUGCACUCCUCGUUUUAAAAGCAAACCUUGGCCGACUCUGUUUCUUCAUCAUUCGGCCACUUUUUCUCCUAUCCUUGUUACCCUUUUCUUCCCCAGUUACCGCAGAAGCGCUUUCCAUCAUUGGUGCCCUAUUCUCUCCUACGCCGGAUUGACCCCAGAGAAGGCCAACCCAGUCGAUAUCUGGAAGGACCUGAGGCUCUAUAAAGGGAGGGUGCAAUGAUGAGGAAGGGUAUGAGGGUGAGAAGAGAUAGGCUGGCAAUUGUGGUAAUGGUGGAGGUGGAGGAGGUGGUGGUGGCGCUUCUUGGCCUUCCAUUUGUGGGGCUCCAAAG
rnacentral:misc_RNA from 1 species